CCCUUCGAUGUUCUGGGCCGCACGCGCGCUACACUGAUCCGGUCAACAAGUUUACAACCUUUUCCGAAAGGAAUGGGUAAUCUUUUGAAACCGGAUCGUGAUAGGGAUAGAUGAUUGCAAUUAUUUGUCUUGAACGAGGAAUGCCUAGUAGGGUCGGUUCAACAGAUCGACCCGAUUACGUCCCUGCCCUUUGUACACACCGCCCGUCGCUCCUACCGAUCGAAGAGUUAGGUGAAUUGUUUUGAUCGAUAAGAUUUGACUAUGGUCAACUCUCGUUGUGAAAUUCUGUGAAUCUGACUGUUUAGAGGAAGGAAAAGUCGUAACA
rnacentral:rRNA from 1 species